GCCGUCAUAGCUCAGUAGGUAGAGUAUCUCCAUGGUAAGGAGGUGGUCGCUGGUUCAAGUCCAGUUGUCGGCACCA
rnacentral:tRNA from 1 species